UUCCUGCUGGUCCAGUGGCUAAGACUCUGCAUUCCCAGUGCAGGGGCCCAGAUUCAGUUCCUGGUCAGGGAA
rnacentral:tRNA from 1 species